rnacentral:lncRNA from 1 species
CAAAAUUCUAUUGAUUGAUUAUUAAAAUACAUUGUAUUCAGGAGCACCUGUUAGCUGCUUUAAUUAACCGCAAAUAACUGCGAGAUAAUGAAUAAUGCGCAAGUUGACAAUUGUCUCUUCUCUGCUAAAAAAUGUACUUGCAAUAUUGACAUUAAUUCAGAUUCAUUUGUGAGACCAACGACACUAAUAACAUUUCCUCAAAGUUAGAGGUUCUCCGUUAAUGGGAACUUCAUAUCGGAUCCGAUCAAUGUAUUGGUUCCAUUCCCCUACAAUUUUAUGGGCCGCCUAUUAUUAUUAGCCAUCCAUUUGCACUGAACGAUGAAAAUCUAAAAGGUAUAAUUAUUACUGUUGGGUUUGUAUGAUAUAUCAGAGACAUUGUAUUACAUGUCUCUGGAUUAUGUAUAUAUAGUAUAAGUCACUUCACUUCUCCUUCCUACGGCUAUGGCGUCACAGAAAAAAUAAAAUUCGGAAACUGACAUGGCCUAAACAGGGACCUGGUUUUACUCAUGAAUGUGGAAUGAUUAUGAUUAUGAUAAAUAAGUAACUCUUUACCUUCUGAUAUUUAUACAUUUAA